rnacentral:rRNA from 1 species
GAACGAAAGUUUUUAACUUUAGUGGCGAACGGGGCGAAAUAAGUGAGAAUCUGCCCUUAGGAGAAGAAUAACUGCUGGAAACGGCUGCUAAGUCUUCAUAUGCCGAGAGGUGAAAUAAUUUCGAUUGCCUAAGGAUGAGCUCACGCCUGAUUAGCUUGUUGGUAAGGUAACGGCUUACCAAGGCCACGAUCAGUAGCUGGUUUGAGAGAAUGAUCAGCCACACUGGGACUGAGACACGGCCCAGACUCCUCCGGGAGGCAGCAGUGAGGAAUUUUCCGCAAUGGGCGAAAGCCUGACGGAGCAAUACCGCGUGAGGGAUGAAGGAUUUUGGUCUGUAAACCUCUUUUCUCAAGAAAGAAGUUCUGACGGUACUUGAGGAAUAAGCAUCGGCUAACUCCGUGCCAGCAGCCGCGGUAAUACGGGGGAUGCAAGCGUUAUCCGGAAUCAUUGGGCGUAAAGCGCCUGUAGGUUGUUUAAUAAGUCUGUUGUUAAAGACUAGGGCUCAACCCUAGAAAAGCAAUGGAAACUACUAGACUUGAGUAUGGCAGGGGUAGAGGGAAUUUCUAGUGUAGCGGUGAAAUGCGUAGAUAUUAGAAAGAACACCGGUGGCGAAAGCGCUCUACUGGACCAUUACUGACACUCAGAGGCGAAAGCUAGGGUAGCAAAAGGGAUUAGAUACCCCUGUAGUCCUAGCCGUAAACGAUGG